AGUGAGCGCUGGCGGUAGGCCUAACACAUACAAGUCGAACGGCAGCACAGUAAGAGCUUGCUCUUACGGGUGGCGAGUGGCGGACGGGUGAGGAAUACAUCGGAAUCUACUUUUUCGUGGGGGAUAACGUAGGGAAACUUACGCUAAUACCGCAUACGACCUACGGGUGAAAGCAGGGGAUCUUCGGACCUUGCGCGAUUGAAUGAGCCGAUGUCGGAUUAGCUAGUUGGCGGGGUAAAGGCCCACCAAGGCGACGAUCCGUAGCUGGUCUGAGAGGAUGAUCAGCCACACUGGAACUGAGACACGGUCCAGACUCCUACGGGAGGCAGCAGUGGGGAAUAUUGGACAAUGGGCGCAAGCCUGAUCCAGCCAUACCGCGUGGGUGAAGAAGGCCUUCGGGUUGUAAAGCCCUUUUGUUGGGAAAGAAAAGCAGCAGGUUAAUACCCCGCUGUUCUGACGGUACCCAAAGAAUAAGCACCGGCUAACUUCGUG
rnacentral:rRNA from 1 species